AUGUCACUCUCCAGCUUGUCUUGGAGGAUCAGAAUCUGGGCUUCAUCCUCGGCCAGUACCUCAUGUCCCCUUCCUGUAUCACUCAGCCAAUCAGGGCCUGGGAGGCCCAACUUGACUGAUGUUGCCCCCUGUCCCCACCCCGUGCUGACCUACCACCUCCUGAUGGCGGAGCAAACCAGGAACCACACCAUCAGCUCCUGUGGUGUUUACAGUGGAGGGACCUGGAAGAGGACACCUAGACCCAGCCCAGCCUUCCUCUGUGUUAUCACAUUUCAGCAUCUGGAGCGGAACCAGUUGCUUUCAGUUUGCAAGCUUUCUGGACAUGUGUGCCGUUGA
rnacentral:lncRNA from 1 species